AAUGGAUCGAUAACGUACCGGUCAACGACAUU
rnacentral:scRNA from 1 species